GGACGAACGCUGGCGGCGUGCCUAAUACAUGCAAGUUGAGCGCUGAAGGUUGGUACUUGUACCAACUGGAUGAGCAGCGAACGGGUGAGUAACGCGUGGGGAAUCUGCCUUUGAGCGGGGGACAACAUUUGGAAACGAAUGCUAAUACCGCAUAAAAACUUUAAACACAAGUUUUAAGUUUGAAAGAUGCAAUUGCAUCACUCAAAGAUGAUCCCGCGUUGUAUUAGCUAGUUGGUGAGGUAAAGGCUCACCAAGGCGAUGAUACAUAGCCGACCUGAGAGGGUGAUCGGCCACAUUGGGACUGAGACACGGCCCAAACUCCUACGGGAGGCAGCAGUAGGGAAUCUUCGGCAAUGGACGAAAGUCUGACCGAGCAACGCCGCGUGAGUGAAGAAGGGUUUCGGAUCGUAAAACUCUGUUGGUAGAGAAGAACGUUGGUGAGAGUGGAAAGCUCAUCAAGUGACGGUAACUACCCAGAAAGGGACGGCUAACUACGUG
rnacentral:rRNA from 1 species